rnacentral:rRNA from 1 species
UAAGGAAUAUUGGACAAUGGAGGCAACUCUGAUCCAGCCAUGCCGCGUGAAGGAUGAAGGUGCUAUGCAUUGUAAACUUCUUUUGAACGGGAGAAAACCUUUGGUCGUGUACCGAAGCUGAUAGUACCGUUAGAAUAAGGGUCGGCUAACUUCGUGCCAGCAGCCGCGGUAAUACGAAGGACCCGAGCGUUAUCCGGAUUUAUUGGGUUUAAAGGGUGCGUAGGCGGAACAGUAAGUCAGUGGUGAAAGCCUGUUGCUUAACAACAGAACUGCCAUUGAUACUGCUGAUCUUGAGUACAUAUGAUGUGGGCGGAAUGUGCCAUGUAGCGGUGAAAUGCUUAGAUAUGGCACAGAACACCGAUUGCGAAGGCAGCUCACAAAACUGUUACUGACGCUGAGGCACGAAAGCGUGGGGAUCAAACAGGAUUAGAUACCCCUGUAGUCC